UGCAUGUAUAAAAUAACUAGAUAUUCCUGAACACUUUGCUACAUUCUUCCUAGAAGUACUUAAGUUACCUACAGAAAAACUUAGAAAAUAGAAAAUGUAACA